rnacentral:rRNA from 1 species
CACCAGGUUGAUUCUGCCUGACGCAGACGCUCGUCUCCGAGACUAAGCCAUGCAUGCCCGCGAAGAAGGGAGCGGCGAACGGCUCAGUAGCACCGCGGCAAUCUGCCCCGCGCGAGCGAUAACCGCGGGAAACUGCGGCUAAGAGCGCGGGCUGAGGCGCGGCCCCAUCAGCUAGUCGGCGGUGUAACGGACCGCCGAGGCGACGACGGGUGCGGGGGGUCGGGGCCCUAUUCCGGAGAGGGAGCCUGAGAGAUGGCUCCCACGUCCAAGGACGGCAGCAGGCGCGGAAAUUGCCUACUCCUCGCGGGGAGGCAGUCACGAGACGUGGCGCAUGGGCGCACUGCAAACGCGUGCGCGAACGCGAGCGGAGGGCAAGCUCGGUGCCAGCAGCCGCGG